UACAGAGGUCCCAAGCGUUGUUCGGAUUCACUGGGCGUAAAGGGUGCGUAGGUGGUGGGGUAAGUCGGAUGUGAAAGCUCGGAGCUCAACUCCGAAAUGGCAUCGGAAACUACCCUGCUAGAGGAUUGGAGGGGGGACUGGAAUACUUGGUGUAGCAGUGAAAUGCGUAGAUAUCAAGUGGAACACCAGUGGCGAAGGCGAGUCCCUGGACAAUUCCUGACACUGAGGCACGAAAGCUAGGGGAGCAAACAGG
rnacentral:rRNA from 1 species